rnacentral:rRNA from 1 species
UACGUAGGUGACCAGCGUUGUCCGGAUUUACUGGGCGUAAAGCGCGUGUAGGUGGCGAUGUAAGUCGGGUGUGAAAUCCCUCGGCUCAACCGAGGAAGUGCACUCGAUACUGUGUCGCUUGAGUGUUGGAGGGGAUGGCGGAAUUCCCGGUGUAGAGGUGAAAUUCGUAGAUAUCGGGAGGAACACCUGUGGCGAAGGCGGCCAUCUGGACAACUACUGACACUGAGACGCGAAAGCGUGGGUAGCAAACAGG